UACGUAGGUGGCGAGCGUUAUCCGGAUUUAUUGGGUUUAAAGGGUGCGUAGGCGGACGCUUAAGUCAGCGGUAAAAUUGCGGGGCUCAACCUCGUCGAGCCGUUGAAACUGGGUGCCUUGAGUGGGCGAGAAGUACGCGGAAUGCGUGGUGUAGCGGUGAAAUGCAUAGAUAUCACGCAGAACUCCGAUUGCGAAGGCAGCGUACCGGCGCCCAACUGACGCUGAAGCACGAAGGCGUGGGUAUCGAACAGG
rnacentral:rRNA from 1 species